rnacentral:rRNA from 1 species
AUUGAACGCUGGCGGCAGGCCUAACACAUGCAAGUCGAGCGAGCGGCGGACGGGUGAGUAAUGUAUGGGGACUGCCCGAUAGAGGGGGAAAACUACUGGAAACGGUGGCUAAUACCGCCUACUAUCGGAUAACCCAUAUGGGAUAAGCUAGUAGGUGGGGUAAAGGCUCACCUAGGCGACGAUCGCUAGCGGUUCUGAGAGGAUGAUCGGCCACACUGGGACGGAGACACGGCCCGGCCUCCUCCGGAGGCAGCAUUGGGGAAUAUUCGACAAUGGGCGCAAGCCUGAUGAAGCCAUGCCGCGGGUAGGAAGCAGGCCUUGGGUUUGUAAAGUACUUUCAGCGGGGAGGCGUUACCCGCAUAGGAAGCCCCGGCUAACUCCGUGCCAGCAGCCGCGGUAAUAC